rnacentral:rRNA from 1 species
CGUGAACCUUUACUAUAGCUUGACACUGAACAUUGAGCCUUGAUGUGUAGGAUAGGUGGGAGGCUUUGAAGUGUGGACGCCAGUCUGCAUGGAGCCGACCUUGAAUACCACCCUUUAAUGUUUGAUGUUCUAACGUUGGCCCGUUAUCCGGGUUGCGGACAGUGUCUGGUGGGUAGUUUGACUGGGGCGGUCUCCUCCUAAA